rnacentral:rRNA from 1 species
AGUCGAACGAGAGGACAUGGGAAGCUUGCUUCCUAUGAAAUCGAGUGGCAAACGGGUGAGUAACGCGUAAACAACCUGCCCUUCGGAUGGGGAUAACAGCCGGAAACGGCUGCUAAUACCGAAUACGAUCUUUUCGUCGCAUGACGGAAAGAAGAAAGGAUGGCCUCUAUACAAAGCUAUCGCCGAAGGAGGGGUUUGCGUCUGAUUAGCUGGUUGGAGGGGUAACGGCCCAACAAGGCGAUGAUCAGUAGCCGGUCUGAGAGGAUGAACGGCCACAUUGGGACUGAGACACGGCCCAGACUCCUACGGGAGGCAGCAGUGGGGAAUCUUCCGCAAUGGACGAAAGUCUGACGGAGCAACGCCGCGUGAGUGAAGAAGGUCUUCGGAUUGUAAAACUCUGUUAUACGGGACGAAAAAGGCGGAUGCCAACAGUAUCCGUCCGUGACGGUACCGUAAGAGAAAGCCACGGCUAACUACGUGCCAGCAGCCGCGGUAAUACGUAGGUGGCAAGCGUUGUCCGGAAUUAUUGGGCGUAAAGGGCGCGCAGGCGGUUCGGUAAGUCUGUCUUAAAAGUGCGGGGCUUAACCCCGUGAGGGGACGGAAACUGUCGAACUUGAGUGUCGGAGAGGAAAGCGGAAUUCCUAGUGUAGCGGUGAAAUGCGUAGAUAUUAGGAGGAACACCGGUGGCGAAAGCGGCUUUCUGGACGACAACUGACGC